rnacentral:rRNA from 1 species
CCUACGGGCGGCAGCAGUGAGGAAUAUUGGUCAAUGGACGAGAGUCUGAACCAGCCAAGUAGCGUGAAGGAUGACUGCCCUAUGGGUUGUAAACUUCUUUUAUAAAGGAAUAAAACGAGGCACGUGUGCCUUUUUGCAUGUACUUUAUGAAUAAGGAUCGGCUAACUCCGUGCCAGCAGCCGCGGUAAUACGGAGGAUCCGAGCGUUAUCCGGAUUUAUUGGGGUUAAAGGGUGCGUAGGCGGUUUUUUAAGUUAGUGGUUAAACGUCGGGGCUUCACCUUGAUUUGCCAUUAAUACUGUAAGACUCGAGUUCAGACGAGGUAGGCGGAAUAAGUUAAGUAGCGGUGAAAUGCGUAGAUAUCAGGAGGAAUACCGUUAGCGAAGGCGGCAAUCUGGCUGGAAACUGACGCUGAGGUGCGAAAGCGUGGGUAGCAAACAGGAUUAGAUACCCUAGUAGUC